rnacentral:siRNA from 1 species
GUUCGGGUAUUUUAAGACUUCGGG